GAUGAAGAAGCAGAGACCAGACGCUCCUGAACCCAGCGGUGUGUCCAUGAAGAGUGACCGGUCUAUGCGGCAGCCUGUUAACUUUAAAGAUGGACGACCUGCUGAUGGAAGGAUGAAGAAGCAGAGACCAGACGCUCCUGAACCCAGCGGUGUGUCCAUGAAGAGUGACCGGUCUAUACGGCAGCCUCUUAACUUUAAAGAUGGACGACCUGCUGAUGGAAGGUGAGAAGUUAUCUCACCUGCAUUGUUCAGAAUCAGCAGCUCUGCUGCCCUCUGCAGGUCAACACUGAAAGAGAGAGAAUUGGACUUAGAAUAAUGAUAAUAAAAAUAAUAAUAAUCAUGAGAAAAUUAUAUCAUUUCACACGUGCAGAUGUUAGUCUUCAGCACCAAUUCAACAAUCGCGAGUUGUACAGGCAGCUGCGAGCGUGAAACUGGCACCUGUGGGUAUAGAAGUGAGCAGCACAAGUGUGUCUGCUUUGCGAGCGCUGGAAGGUAAGCAUGCUCUCGAAGUUGAUUUCUGCUCGUGUGGAUGAAACUGACUUUUGACAUUUUGGGGUGGAAACCAAGGGAGGCACUGGCCCUCCUAUGAUUGGUCACUUGCUUUGAAAACAGUCACACCCACACGCAGCCUCGUACCUUGAUUGACAGCUAUAGAGGAAAGAAGGGAGACGGUACGGCCAGAAUCUUUUCAUUUUAUUUAAGGUUUGACAGCCAGGUUUAGCUGUAAAAUGCAAUCUGUGUCAGCCUGAUAACAUGGGAGAAGUAAUUGUAUAGGGUAUUAUUCUGAAUAAGACUAAUGCCCCAUUACCAGACAGUAGGAAGGGUCAUGAUGGUUUGAUAGUAAUUGUUAUUUUAUGUAGUUAUGAUUUGCGCAGCAUUUUAUUCUGAGUCACAGCCAUUUUAUGAUAUUUUAAUUUCACUGAUUCGGACGUUCAUUUACCUGACGAACUCGCUUAUUCUGGCGGUACAACAACUGUGACCUUCCUCCAACAACAGCUGUCAAUCAAGGUACGAGGCUGCGUGUGGGUGUGGCCGUUUUCAAAGCAAGUGACCAAUCAUAGGAAGGCCAGUUGUUGAAUUGGUGCUAGAAGGACUAAUAUCUGCAUGUGUGAAAUAUUAUAAUUUGUUGUUGAGCAUGUUUUACAUAAACCUGAUGCCCUAGUAGAAAGUCUGUUGU
rnacentral:lncRNA from 1 species